rnacentral:rRNA from 1 species
GACGAACGCUGGCGGCGUGCUUAACACAUGCAAGUCGAACGGAAAGGCCCUGCUUUCGCGGGGUGCCCGAGUGGCGAACGGGUGAGUAACAUGUGAGUAUCCCGCCUUUGACUUUGGGAUAACUUCAGGAAACUGGGGCUAAUACCGGAUAGGCGCUCCUGCUGCAUGGUGGGGGUUGGAAAGUUUCGGCGGAUGGGGAUAGACUCGCGGCUUAUCAGCUUGUUGGUAGGGUAGUGGCUUACCAAGGCUUUGACGGGUAGCCGGCCUGGGAGGGUAACCAGCCCCCUUAGGACUGAGAGACGGAGCAGACUGCUACGGGGGGCAGCAGUCGGGAGUAUUACACAAUGACGGGGAGUCUGUGGCAGAAACGCCACGAGCGUAAAGAAGGGCUUCGGGUGGUGAACGGCUUUCGCCUAUUACGGAGCGUGUGUGACGGUAAUGAGUGAAGAAGCACCGGCUAACUACGUG